rnacentral:lncRNA from 1 species
UAGGCAUACAGUGAGGGAGGCACCCUAUGAGAUUUAGUAAUAUAUAUAUUACAUAAGGCAAAACCAGCACUAGAACUCAGCUUGGCUGGUCCUCAACCCCAAUAAACAGUUCCAUCUGAACAGUGAUGGGUUUUGAAUCUCCUGGGUGAUUCUGAAGACUUUGCUCUUAAUGGGAAGAAUGUGGAAACCGAUCUCCUAGAUUUACAAGCACAGAUCUUCACAUUUGGUUGUGUUAAGGACAUAGGCAUCUCUUAGUUUCUCUCUACUUCUCAGAUCUGGCAACUUGUGCCCCCCCCCUUUUUUUUUUACCAUCCAGUGUGAAGGAUCCUAUGAAACCAGUUGAAAUUUGGACUACACUGUUUUUACUGUGAGCUGCUAAGUUUGGGAGUCUUGUGGACAGAAUCCAGAGUGAGCCACCCCAUGCUUAGUUCAUCAUGUGACCUCUCUUCCAGCACUUUGGAUCUUAGCUUUUGGGCCUGAAGACUAAGAAUGGAGCAUCAAUAAUUAAAGAGAAGUUUGCCAGCCUUCGCUCCAUGGUCCCUGUGUCCUCUGCAUUCAACAAGCAGGAAUAAAAGUGCAUGGAGAACUUAUAAAUGCGUCUUUAAAGCCUAGGAUGAGAGAAGACAUUCAUUUCUUCUAUUUCUAUUUUAUUGGUGAAACUUGGUCACAUGGCCACAAUAGAUGUAAACAGUUCCAGGAAAUGUAGUCUUUGGCUAAGAAGUCUCCUCCCAGCAAUGAUUUGACAUUAUGAAGGGUAGCACCCAGAUUUUGGUAAACAAUUAUCAGUUUCUGCUACAAAACACAUCAUCAUAGCCUUGAAAGAGACCUUAUGGGAGCACCUGGGUGGCUCAGUUGGUAAAGUAUCUGCCUUCCACACAGGUCCUGAUCCCAGAGCCCAGGAUUGAACUCUUUAUCAGGCUCUCUGCUCAAGGAGAGUCUGCUUUUCCCUGUGCCCCUCACCCCUCUUGUGCUCUCUCUCUUUCUCAAAUAAAUAAAUAAAAAUAUUUUUUUUUAAAAAAAGGG